rnacentral:rRNA from 1 species
GUAGUUUGACUCCGUGGCUCAGGACGAACGCUGGCGGCGUGCUUAACACAUGCAAGUCGAGCGGAAAGGCCCCUUCGGGGGUACUCGAGCGGCGAACGGGUGAGUAACACGUGAGCAACCUGCCCCUGACUCUGGGAUAAGCCUGGGAAACCGGGUCUAAUACCGGAUACGACCACCGGCCGCAUGGUCUGGUGGUGGAAAGUUUUUUCGGUCGGGGAUGGGCUCGCGGCCUAUCAGCUUGUUGGUGGGGUAGUGGCCUACCAAGGCGACGACGGGUAGCCGGCCUGAGAGGGCGACCGGCCACACUGGGACUGAGACGCGGCCCAGACUCCUACGGGAGGCAGCAGUGGGGAAUAUUGCGCAAUGGGCGGAAGCCUGACGCAGCGACGCCGCGUGGGGGAUGACGGCCUUCGGGUUGUAAACCUCUUUCAGCAGGGACGAAGUUGACGUGUACCUGCAGAAGAAGCGCCGGCUAACUACGUG